CAGCAUCUUCUGCCUUUGUCUCAGCCGGCCCUUUAAGCCCGGCUUAUGCCGACACUAUUAAUGUGGGUGUCUGUGACCAACUCCGGGUUUUUAUGUUAGUGACCUGAUUCCGCACUAACACGCUCCUCCCAGCUCGGUGAAGCUCCCCAUGUGAUCCGUUCUUCCCCCUAAAUAAAGUUGACAAAUCUGGCUGUGCUCAGAGUGCUGCCGAGGGGGUGCAGAGCUCUUCCCCCCUCCGCAGCUGCGGCACCGCCGCCGCACCGGGGCCGCGCCGGGCCGGGCUCGGGGCUCCAGCACGGCGGGGCUUGGGGCUCCCAGCACCGCUGGCCCCUCUGGAGGAGCCCAGCGAGCCGAGCAGGAUGCGGCCGGAGCAGGGCCUUUUUCCAGGCUCCAGAUUUGCAGUGAGGGCACCUCCCCAAGUCCAGGAUAACGAGGACAAAAACCCCCAAUCCAAACCCUCUCCAGACAAUCCCUGUCUGAGAGCAGAUAUCAGAGAGGAGGGGAAAUUAAACCUUUUCAUGAGAGCUCCUGUUUGCAGCUGAUUUUGUUCAUGUGUGUGGUGUGAGCAAACACAAGUCACAAAACCUGCCUUUGAUUUCACCCUCUUUUGGGAAUAUCUUGGAGAAGAAAAGAAACACCUCUCAGUGCAACAAUUCCUAAGAUAAAAAGUCCACUUGUUGCAGUGCCUUAAGCCCAAGGAUAAGCUCUGCCACCACAAUGUUACUGGAAUAUUGAUUUGAUUUUCUCCAAUUCUCUCCUCUAGAACACAAAGAAUCCCAAACUGGCACUGGGCUGAGCUUUCUCCUGACCCUUGGUGAAGAAAACAACACGUUCCUGACCUCCUGACUUGGGAUAUAGAGGAGCUGUGCUGUAAACUUUGUGCCACAGGCUGUUACUCCUGCAAUCCCUGCCUUCCAAAACAAAGAACACUUCUGAUCUCACCUAUGCCUGGAGAACCUGAGGAGAAAACCAUCUCCUGGAUGACACAGGUGCCAAGGGAAUCAUCGUUUUUGCUUCUCUGGGAAUUUUGAGAACAGCUCCUGAAUCCCAAUGAGGCCCAAGUUCACAGAGGUCCCUGGACCUGCACUUUUGGCCUCACCAGACUAUGAAAACUUUGCUAAAUUAAAUACAACAGGGGACACUGAGAGUGAGCAGCUGGAGGGGUCCCUGUCGUCCACCAUUGCGCUGAUCGUCGUGCUGACCAUCAUCUUCUCCUUGGUAAUGACAUCCCUAAUAACCUACUGCUUCCACAAGUGGAAACUCAGAGGGAAAAGACUGCAGAAAGCACAAGAGGAGUAUCAGAAAGACCAUGAAAAGAGCAUUUGCCAAAGCACACCUGGACUUGUUUCAUAAAAAAAAAAAUGGAAAAAAAGGA